UAUGUAGUGGCAACCUAGUAGAACUGAAAUAAAUCUUUAAGUAUAGUUAACAUAUAAUUCAAUCCCUCUAUCGUGAGUCCCGACUAGAUGGCAGGUCAUGGAUAAACCGUCAAACCUCAACAUCAAUCAUAUGAUAGAUUCGAUUAGCUCGAGUCCAAUUGUGACUUCUAUAGAGAUUGUUUUCUAUCAAUCACACUACUGUGGCCAC
rnacentral:lncRNA from 1 species